rnacentral:lncRNA from 1 species
UUUCAUCAAUAGAGAAAAGCACUAGCGGAAACAUACACAAACGGCUUACACGAGGGUAAGCAAUAGCCAUUAGUGAAAGAAAGAAAAACUAAACAUUUAUAAGUACUAUGAUUCGUUUUUGAUCAUAUACAUUGCAUUCAUCUUGUUCAUUUUCGAAUUCCUUACAUGUCAUUUCAUCAUUUCUUUCUUACAUCACAUUUACCUCAAAAUACACAUUACAUUCUUUUCUUUACAUUACUAGUCAUCAAAUACAAGAGAUGAACAUAGGGUAGCCACUAUCAAAAUGUAAACCCAACUCAACCCUGGUGGCCUCUGUCUAAGGCGCGAUACCUUUACCUCGGUCACUCGUCGGCUCGCUCGGUCCCGGCUCUGUGAAAAUAGUGGGGUGAGAACUACAACAAAGUUCCCAGUGGGUUCGGUCUCAACAUCACCGACUUUCCCACUAGGACUAACUCAGGCAUAAUAGAAAGAAUAAGCUGCAUAUAGUAACCAAUCUAUGCAUAAUGCUAAU